UGCGUAGGUUGCUUGGCAAGUUGGUGGUGAAAUUCCGGGGCUUAACUCCGGCGCUACCACCAAGACUGCUGAGCUUGAGUACAGGAGAGGUAAGUGGAAUUCCUAGUGUAGCGGUGGAAUGCGUAGAUAUUAGGAGGAACACCAGUGGCGAAGGCGACUUACUGGCCCUGCAACUGACACUGAGGCACGAAAGCGUGGGGAGCAAACA
rnacentral:rRNA from 1 species